rnacentral:rRNA from 1 species
UGGGGAACAUUGGACAAUGGGCGCAAGCCUGAUCCAGCAAUGCCGCGUGUGUGAAGAAGGUCUUCGGAUUGUAAAGCACUUUCGACGGGGACGAUGAUGACGGUACCCGUAGAAGAAGCCCCGGCUAACUUCGUGCCAGCAGCCGCGGUAAUACGAAGGGGGCUAGCGUUGCUCGGAAUGACUGGGCGUAAAGGGCGCGUAGGCGGAUUGUACAGUCAGAUGUGAAAUUCCUGGGCUUAACCUGGGGGCUGCAUUUGAUACGUGCGAUCUUGAGAUCGGGAGAGGAGAGUGGAAUUCCCAGUGUAGAGGUGAAAUUCGUAGAUAUUGGGAAGAACACCGGUGGCGAAGGCGGCUCUCUGGACCGAUACUGACGCUGAGGCGCGAAAGCGUGGGGAGCAAACAGGAUUAGAUACCCUGGUAGUCCACGCUGUAAACGAUGUGUGCUAGACGUUGGGGAGCCUAGCUCUUCGGUGUCGCAGCUAACGCGGUAAGCACACCGCCUGGGGAGUACGGCCGCAAGGUUA